UAGUUCCUCCAACAGUUCACAAUCACCCACAUCUUCUCCAAAACCCACAGGUCAAGAAAUGCAUCUGAGAUCUGCUGGGCCACCUCCUGCUAGUCUGUGAUGUCAUCCAUCUGUUCAUCUACCUUGCCAGUGUCCAGGUCCUGGGAGGCCUUCUUUAUGCCUCGGGCAGCUAACUACAAGGCUUUCUACAUGAUUGCAGCACGUUGAAGUUUCUCAUUUUACAGUGAAGCAACCCAAAAGAAGUUUAGAAGCUUCUCCAAGCCCAGGCGGCUAGUUGAAAUAAGAAGAGGUAAAUUGCAACGGAGAGAAAUGAACCCAGAGCUGGGCCUACUGCUCCACAGAGUAACCAUGUGCAGAUGGGUAUACCAAAAUGCGCGAACACUGUUUCAGAGUGCCUGGUGCUGAGACACAAGGACUGCUUCUGUUCC
rnacentral:lncRNA from 1 species